rnacentral:rRNA from 1 species
GACGUAGGGCGCGAGCGUUGUCCGGAUUUAUUGGGCGUAAAGAGCUCGUAGGUGGCCUGUCGCGUCGGCUGUGAAAACUCGGGGCUCCAACUCCGAGCUUGCAGUCGAUACGGGCAGGCUAGAGUUCGGCAGGGGAGACUGGAAUUCCUGGUGUAGCGGUGAAAUGCGCAGAUAUCAGGAGGAACACCGGUGGCGAAGGCGGGUCUCUGGGCCGAUACUGACACUGAGGAGCGAAAGCGUGGGGAGCGAACAGG